rnacentral:rRNA from 1 species
UACGGAAGGGGCAAGCGUUGUCCGGAAUUAUUGGGCGUAAAGAGCUCGUAGGCGGUUUGUUGCGUCGGCUGUGAAAUCCCGAGGCUCAACCUCGGGUCUGCAGUCGAUACGAGCAAACUAGAGUGUUGCAGGGGAGACUGGAAUUCCUGGUGUAGCGGUGAAAUGCGCAGAUAUCAGGAGGAACACCGGUGGCGAAGGCGGGUCUCUGGGCAACAACUGACGCUGAGGAGCGAAAGCGUGGGGAGCGAACAGG